UGGUUCUGGCAUCGAUGAAGAACGCAGCGAAAUGCGAUAAGUAAUGUGAAUUGCAGAAUUCAGUGAAUCAUCGAAUCUUUGAACGCACAUUGCGCCCCUUGGUAUUCCGAGGGGCAUGCCUGUUCGAGCGUCAUUAUAACCACUCAAGCCUCGGCUUGGUCUUGGGGUUCGCGGUUUCGCGGCCCUUAAAAUCAGUGGCGGUGCCGUCUGGCUCUAAGCGUAGUAAUUCUCUCGCUAUAGGGUCCAGGUGACCACCUGCCAUAACCCCCCAUUCUUUACGGUUGACCUCGGAUCAGGUAGGGAUACCCGCUGA
rnacentral:misc_RNA from 1 species